rnacentral:rRNA from 1 species
CCACUUGAUUAAAUACCCUGAAGGCACUAGAUUCCAUCUGAUCUCAUAAGCAAAGCAGAACAGGCCUAGUUAAUACUUGGAAGGAGAGAUCACCGGAGAAUGCCAGGUGGUGUGAGCU